UCUAGGAGGUAUUAAAGCCAUUCAUCUCCGGUAGAGUAGGAGGGUGUCACGGUAUUUCUACUGGAGGGGAUGUGGGGGUCAUUCCCCCCAGAGGGCAUUUGCAUCCUAAAGCGACUGAUUCUGCUUGGGUCUGGUCUCAACCAAGAGGCAUUUGAGAGCACCCCGCAUUAACAUAUGUGCAUGUUCAGUCAGAUUUGAGCCGGCACUUUGCACUUUCCUGCGAUAAAGGAUGGAGAAAGGCUUCACGCUGAGGGCUGCCGAGCACCUGCCCAGUUUCAGUCUUUGAAUUUCCCCCAGGUCCACCCACCUGGCUGUGCUGGGAGCUCUGGCUAAUGCCAGAGACCCCAGCAGUCCUCUCCAGAACCAAUGCAAUGGUGUGUGCUCAGGCAUCUGGCUGGAGUGGAAUGAACAUCUCUUCAUGAAGAACUGCUCACAUCUGAGUUGGAGUGAUUGCUCAAAAGUGGAGAACAUGGAGACGAAGCAGACAGAUUCCUCUCUACCUUCUGGAGCUAUCAAUCAGCUUAAAUGUUGCUGUCUUAGCCCUGUGGCCUAGAGUCUGCACUUUGCCCCCAUCUUCUUCACCAGUGGAUGUGGGAGGAAGGCCUGCAGCCCCGCAUGGAGCACCUGUGCCAAAGCCGAUCUUCUCCAUGACCUUGUCACCCCUUUGUCUUUCUAGGCCAUUGAAGGAGCUUCACUGUCUGCAGUUUACAGCCUGUAUUGGAGAGCAGGAAUGUGCUCAGUCCCGAACACUGCAGAAAAGGAGAACGCUUUCUGAGCAUGCUGGUGUAACCUUUGGAGAAGUCAUACGCUAUCAUCACUCUUCCUCUCCACCCACCGAGCUACAGCUGAGGUGACAUGGGAUCGGACGAUUCGGAGAAGAACCUCAGGGCAGGGCUGCCUGAAAUAUCCAGGAGCAUUGACCCUGGGAUACAUGUGGCAGCAGCUCCAGUUGUCCCCUGUGGCAGUGAGUGUGGUAAUUGUACACUGUGAACAGGCACCCUCUUCCCCAAGGAAUUUGAAGUUAUGCAAUUUUUUACAUCUGACUGGGAUUUCAGAGGCUCUGAGUGCUCAGGCAGAGUAAAAACUUCAGCUACGUUCCCUGCAUGCACAAAGAUAAGUUAUAGAGCACAUGAGGUGUGUCCAGCACUUCCAGGAGCUGUGGGCCUUUGGUCUCUACACUGGACAGAUGGUCUAUAUAUGCACAAUAAAUGCCGUGUGUUUCCAUGCACAGACCAUCUGUGAAACGUAGGCAUAGGAUGUCGGAUGCUUCCUGAAAACCUGGCAACCCUAUGGCUGACGCUCUGCAAUGUGACUGAGACCAUAAUUUUCAAAGGACUUCGGACUUCCAGCUGCUGCUGAUUUCAGCGUAUUUUCCAGAGCAGACGCUGAGCACGGCUUGGACUCCAUGAUGGGGUAUUUGGUAGGACAGAUGCUGCAUGUGAAAGUCCUGAGUACAGCAAGAAAAGGUGACGAAGCUCUUCAUUGUGAGGCUCCUUGAAGAAUAUGGUGCAAGAUGGAAGGCUGCACAGUGCAUCUGGGGUCAGGGAGAUAUUUCAGUCUGACUUCAAUGUGAUGGAAGUGCUGUGUGACUCUUUUAAUGGAACUCUCUAGAGAAGAAAAAAAAUGCACCUACUGGUACUGAUGGCUGUUUUAUUUAUUCACUUAUUAACCACCCUUGAAAUUACAGUCUAUUGUAAAAGUAUCACUAUUUUCUUCUCCAAUGGAUACCUGAUUAAUGUCUUGUGAGUUGUGCAUGCCCUGCCAAAUGAGAGUGAUGUGUUUCUCAGCUGAUAGCUAAAUAAUUUUUUAAGUGAGUUAUUGUCUCACUUAGUAGCUCUGGUAGACUAGAUCCCCACCUGAUUUGCCCUCCCCAUGCAGAACAAAAUUUACUUAAUUUUGCUCUAAUUUAGAAUGGUAUUAACACAGAAAUUGAGCAGUGAGAAAUUGCCUAGAGGCUUUUCUCUUGCAUUUUCCCUGCAGGGAGAUUCACAUUUUAAGCUCUCCCAAACAAAAAGGUCAUCCCAUUUGUUCCAAGGAUUUUUGGAGACUAACCAAUAGCCAAUAUUUAUAUAGGAGAAUACUCUCAUUAGCCCACUCCAGCUCUUCUCAAGAUUGUUUGGAAGAUUUUUCAAAUUUGCAUCUCUCCCAUAAGAAGGAAUGAAGCGAAAGGAGCUUUUGGAGCUAAUCAUCUGCUAUUAAAGAAGGCGAGCACAGAUAUAGGGGGUGAAAAUGCUUCUUGUCCUGCUGGGGUCUUCACUGCCUCUGGAGUUGCAAGGACAAGUGCCUGGGGACAACUCAACAGUACUUCACACAGUUCAUCCUACACUCCUUUCUUAGCUUGCGUCAUUCUCCUCAUCUCCCAUUCCCUUUCCUUUUCUCUCCCCUUUCUUUGCACUCUCCCAUCUACCAACUCUCUGAUUCAGUAUGCUGGCUCACACUGGUAGCUGCAACCCUCAGAAGACAGAGAUGCUACUGAUGACAUUGAGCUGUCUGAGCUCAGCUUCUCUCUCAGAUUUGGUCCUUGUCAUCCUUUUGUUAUCAUCAUCAUCAGCUACCAUUCUUUAUCACUGUUAUCUUUGCUGAAAUAUCAGUGUAAGUUAUCCAUUUAAUUUUGGGGCAUGGACCUCCAAGUUUUUAAGUUCUGCCUAGCUACCCCACUCCUUUCCCCACUGUUUAUUUUAUUAGUAGGGCUGAAAGGUAUGUUUCUGUUUAAAUCUACCCCUUGCAAGGCCUCAUUCUGCUUAACUUCUGGCAUUUCUCAUUUUAUUCUCAAGCUUCUUGACCUCUAAAGUACCUUCACUUUGCUGAGCUGUCUUUUUUUUCCAUUCUUUGCUGGCUCUUGGUUGAUUGCUAUUAUCCUUUGUUGAGGUGGCUUACUCAUUCACUUAAAUUUAGAGUAAUUUUUACAGGCUUUGUUUUUCCCUGGCUUGGGAGAUGUGCUGGAGGUAGUUUCUAUACUUUUGGCUGAAAGGAAUCUCAGGCCUUUCCCACAUUCAGGACUUUCAGUUCUUUAGUCCAGUUGAGUUCACUAAUUAGUUCCCUUAAUUUCUCAGAUUCUGCCCAUUUGAAAUGUAGAACCUUAAUUACAGACCUAUUUUUGUUUACUCUUCCAUUUAAUUUAAACUGAAUCAACUUGUGAUUGCUCAGUCAAAGGUUAUUUUCUUUGAUCGCUUCUCCUGUAAUGUGCUUGCUAUUUACCAAAACGAAGCCUAAAAUAGCAUCAGUGGUUCAGCACUCUUUGGUGAAUUAAUUUGUUGGCAAUUACAUCUAAGUCUGUUUGGCCAUGCUGCAAGUAGUAGCUUCUGUAUCUAUGAAACUGUAUUUAUUUCUCUCAAAUUUCCUUCUUUAAUGACGUGGUACAUCAUCUGUGAUAUUGAUAAAGAAGUAAAUCAAAUGUUAAAAAAUCUAGAGAGGAAGAGAGAACACAAUACAGAGCAAUUUUAUGUCACUUUGUAACUCUUUAUUGCUGUAUGCAUUUCUGGUACAUCCCAUCUCAUAAAGGAUACAGCACAAAUGGAAUAGGUUCAGAGAUGGGCAGCAAGAGUAAAACGUGGAAGAGCUUCUGUCUAAGGAAAAACUGACCCGAAUAAAAGUAUUUAAGCUGGAGAAAGGAUAAAUGAAGGUAUCUAUACUGAUGGAUAGGAUAUCAUAAAGAUGGUAAAUAAGGAAGAAUUGUUCAUUAUCCUCUCCCACUUAAGGGAAUAGAAGAGGUUAUCAGGAGAAACAGGCAGAUAUUUUGUUCAAAGCAGGCAGAAGGAAAUGCUUUAUUUCACAUAGCACGUAGCUGUGUGAAAUUUCUUCUUGCCACACAUUGUUAUGCUUGUUUAUAUAGAUUAAAAACAAAUACAAAACCAAAAGAAAAACAGAUACACAAAAUCUCACAACAACAAAACGACCCCAAAAAACUAGAGAGAUUAAUGGAAGAAAACAGCUAGUGAAGACUACUGACAGCACCUCUGACUCAGAAAGCUGUUGAAACCAAAGUGUUUAUUCUAAGGAAAUGAUCUUUCUCUGAUGUCCUGCGUGGGACAUCUGCCUUUGGCUAUUGUUUGGGGCAAGAUGGACUUCUAGUCUGUAGGGCUGGUUCUAUGACCCUGUGUCCAGUGACAAACUAAGGACCUUAGUGUACUGCAGCUUACAGUGCCUCCAAAAUGAUUCCAAGGUCAUGGGCAGAGCUAACACAGGAAGAUAACAGUAAUUUAUAUUUGGUUUUCCUUCCUUUGAAUUCUUAUAAAGGCCAGGGUAACACUCAGCUCUGCACAGUAUGUGCUUGCCAUUUCUGUUUAAUUUCCAGGCACCUUUUCAUUUGGAAGUAGAGUCAGUUCUUUCUCUGGGCUCUGGUAGGCAGCAGGUCACAGAGAUAAAUGUCAGGGAAGCACAGACCACCGCUCAGUGUUGUCUAAGGAAUAAAGGUAGGUGAGGUCAAAUGGUUAAGAAAACGUGACUGGUUAAUAAAUAUGGCCAAAAAAAAAAAUGGUCUCAUGUAUGGCGUAGCUAUGCAACAGCAUUCUUAGGGGCAGAAAUCCUGCGAAUCCACCAAGAUCGCUGGACUCCGCUACCAAAUUUUAUCCACUUCUGUCUACCUCUCUGUUCACAGAAGAUGCUGCCAAAGCUGAGUUCAUAACUUGCAAACCUCUAACAGCUGCCUGAUGUUCUUUUAAUCUUUCACAUAUGCUGCAUUCAGCCUCCUCACAGCUACAAAAA